rnacentral:lncRNA from 1 species
GCUAGAUGGUAUACCCUACAACUCUGAAAUUCCAUGGGCUAUAUGAAAUCCGCCAUUGACUCGGCCGAGAAGAACCCAACCCAAGUAUGCCUCAAGGGUUUGAGUCUCUGACUCUGCAACACCACACGGCCGUCCCCAGCGUAAAAUAAUUUACCGAACCGACACAUCACGAUUUUGGAUUAAUAGUUACUUGAUCUCAAACCUUCUAUGGGUAACCACC